rnacentral:rRNA from 1 species
CUAUAACGGUCCUAAGGUAGCGAAAUUCCUUGUCGGGUAAGUUCCGACCCGCACGAAAGGCGUAACGAUUUGUGCACUGUCUCAACGAGAGACUCGGUGAAAUUUUAGUACCUGUGAAGAUGCAGGUUACCCGCGACAGGACGGAUAGACCCCAUGGAGCUUUACUGUAGUGUGUGAUUGAGUGUUUGUACCACAUGUACAGGAGAGGUAGGCGCCGAAGCGGCCGGAA